UGAACACAGUACAGGUUUUCUUCGCUUUAUGCAGGUUCUAUAUAUGCAAAUUUGUUCUUAUGCAAUGACCCAUUUUAUACCCAAAAUUCGUUAUACGCAAGGUAAAUCCACUCUUAUGCCAUCGGCAUAGUGGAAGACCACAA